UUACGACCACAUCACGGGGAAACACCGGUUCACGUACGAUCACCGAAUUUAAGCAACUUCAACCCUGGUCAGUAUUUGAUGGGUGACCGCUUUGGAAAUAUCAGGUGCUGUGA